rnacentral:rRNA from 1 species
AAUGAACGUUGGCGGCGUGGAUUAGGCAUGCAAGUCGCGCGACAAGGAACCUUCGGGUUCUGGAGGAGCGGCAAACGGGGUAGUAAGGCAUCGGAACGUACCCUCUUGUUGGGAAUAGCCGCGGGAAACUGCGAGUAAUGCCCAAUAAUCCCUACGGGGCAAAGGUCCGCCGCAGGAGGAGCGGCCGAUGUGAUACCAGCUAGUUGGUGAGGUAAUGGCUCACCAAGGCUUAGACGUCUAGGGGGUGUGAGAGCAUGGCCCCCACACUGGGACGUGAGAUACUGCCCACGACACCUACGGGUGGCUGCAGUCGAGAAUCUUCGGCAAUGGGCGGCAAGCCU